rnacentral:rRNA from 1 species
CUUCCGUAGGGUGAACCUGCGGAAGGAUCAUUAAAUAAUCAAUAAUUUUGGCUUGUCCAUUAUUAUCUAUUUACUGUGAACUGUAUUAUUACUUGACGCUUGAGGGAUGCUCCACUGCUAUAAGGAUAGGCGGUGGGGAUGUUAACCGAGUCAUAGUCAAGCUUAGGCUUGGUAUCCUAUUAUUAUUUACCAAAAGAAUUCAGAAUUAAUAUUGUAACAUAGACCUAAAAAAUCUAUAAAACAACUUUUAACAACGGAUCUCUUGGUUCUCGCAUCGAUGAAGAACGUAGCAAAGUGCGAUAACUAGUGUGAAUUGCAUAUUCAGUGAAUCAUCGAGUCUUUGAACGCAACUUGCGCUCAUUGGUAUUCCAAUGAGCACGCCUGUUUCAGUAUCAAAACAAACCCUCUAUCCAGCAUUUUGUUGAAUAGGAAUACUGAGAGUCUCCUGAUCUAUUCUGAUCUCGAACCUCUUGAAAUGUACAAAGGCCUGAUCUUGUUUAAAUGCCUGAACUUUUUUUUAAUAUAAAGAGAAGCUCUUGCGGUAAACUGUGCUGGGGCCUCCCAAAUAAUACUCUUUUUAAAUUUGAUCUGAAAUCAGGCGGGAUUACCCGCUGAACUUAAGCAUAUCAAUAA